AUGAGGAACCACAAGAAGUUGCUGCAGCUCCUGCGGCCGGACCCGGCGGUGGCGGCGGCCAGCGACGACGUGUGCUCCCCGCUGCCUUCGCCCACGACCAGCGGGAGCGCGAGCACGUCGGCCACGGCGUCCCCGUCGCCGUACGUCGCGUCGCCGUGGGUCAACCUCCCGGGGCUCGGCGCCGGGGCGGCGCUGACGGCCGGCGCGGCGGACGAGACGGGGCUCCUUGGCUCGUUCGUCAAGGAGGACGGGCACGUGUACUCUCUCGCCGCCGCCGGGGACCUGCUCUACACCGGCACGGACUCCAAGAACGUCCGGGUGUGGAGGGACCGGCGCGAGUUCGCCGGGUUCCAGUGCGGCAGCGGGCUCGUCAAGGCCAUCGUCGUCGCCGGGGACGGGAGGAUAUACACCGGCCACCAGGACGGCAAGAUCCGCGUGUGGCGCGCGUCCGCGGAGGACCCCGCCGUGCACAAGCGCGUCGGCUCGCUCCCGAAGCUCGGGGACUUUCUCAGGAGCUCCGUCAGGCCGUCGCACUACAUCGAGACGCGGCGCCGGCAUAGUUCUGUGUGGCUGCGGCACUUCGACGCUGUCUCGUGCCUCAGCCUGGACGCCGACGCCGGGCUGCUCUACUCCGGGUCGUGGGACAGGACCUUCAAGGUGUGGCGCGUGUCCGACUCGCGGUGCCUCGAGUCGGUGCGCGCCCACGACGACGCCGUCAACACGGUGGCCGCUGCUGGGUUCGACGCGCUGGCGUUCACCGGUUCCGCGGACGGCACGGUCAAGGUGUGGCGGCGGGAGGACGGGAAGGGCGGCGCCACGAGGCACGUCAUGGAGCGGGUGCUGCGCAAGGGCGAGAGCGCGGUGACCGCCAUCGCCGUUGCGGCGGAGGCGCGCGUGGUGUACGUGGCCUCGUCGGACGGGGCCGUGACGCACUGGCAGUGGCGGCGCGGAGCCGACCGGGAGAGCGCGCCGAGGAACGGCGGGGCGCUCCGCGGGCAUAAGAUGGCCGUGCUGUCCCUCGCGGUGGCCGGGCGCGUCGUCGUGAGCGGCUCGGCCGACCGGACCAUCUACGUGUGGCGGCGCGGCGAGGGCGCCGACCACUCCCGCCUCGCCGUUCUGAGCGGGCACACGGGGCCGGUCAAGUGCGUGGCCAUGGACGAGGAGGAGUCCGUCGACGCGGACGGCCACCGGCGGUGGGUGGUGUACAGCGGCAGCCUGGACGGGUCGGUGAAGGUGUGGCGCGUGUCCGACGCGCCGGGCGCGAUGACGACGCGGACGCCGGCGCACGCGUGGAAGGGCACGCCGUCGCCGCUGGGCGCGUGGACGCCGUACCGGGCGCCGGAGCGGAGCUGA
rnacentral:rRNA from 1 species